AGUGAACGCUGGCGGUAGGCCUAACACAUGCAAGUCGAACGGCAGCACAGUAAGAGCUUGCUCUUACGGGUGGCGAGUGGCGGACGGGUGAGGAAUACAUCGGAAUCUACUUUUUCGUGGGGGAUAACGUAGGGAAAAUUACGCUAAUACCGCAUACGACCUACGGGUGAAAGCAGGGGAUCUUCGGACCUUGCGCGAUUGAAUGAGCCGAUGUCGGAUUAGCUAGUUGGCGGGGUAAAGGCGCACCAAGGCGACGAUCCGUAGCUGGUCUGAGAGGAUGAUCAGCCACACUGGAACUGAGACACGGUCCAGACUCCUACGGGAGGCAGCAGUGGGGAAUAUUGGACAAUGGGCGCAAGCCUGAUCCAGCCAUACCGCGUGGGUGAAGAAGGCCUUCGGGUUGUAAAGCCCUUUUGUUGGGAAAGAAAAGCAGCAGGUUAAUACCCCGCUGUUCUGACGGUACCCAAAGAAUAAGCACCGGCUAACUUCGUG
rnacentral:rRNA from 1 species